rnacentral:lncRNA from 1 species
UAGCCUUUAUUUAACCAGGCAAGUCACUUAAGAAUAAAUUCUUAUUUACAAUGGCGGCCUACCCCAGCCAAACCCUAACCCGGACGAUGCUGGGCCAAUAGUGCACCGCCCUAUGGGGACUCCCAAUCACAGCCAGUUGUAAUACAGCCUGGAAUCGAACCAGGGUCUGUUGUGACACUUCUAGCACUGAGAUGCAGUGCCUUAGACCGCUGCGCCACUCGGGAGCUAAACAUGCUAAACAUAUUAAGAAUCUCACAGACCAGUUUCAUUGGCUUUGUUACCUCAAAUGGAGAGAACGUGCCUACGAAUAAGCACAUUGAAACAACAUCCACGUUCCAGACAACUGGCCAUCUGAAUGUAGGCACAGCCACAUUCCAUGAAUUCAACUUUGACCUGCCAGCACUCCAGCAUUUUUACAUUUACAUGAAUUCUGAUUGUUUCCAGGGAUACACAGCAUUCUGAAAUAUAUGUAGAUAUCUUUAUUAGAAAUAAUACUAGAUUUCACUUGAGGUAGUGAUUCUGAAUGUAAAAAAUGGCUCAGCUUACUCCACUCUCCCAUAUCCUUGCUUUUUAGAAUAUUAAUAUUAAAUUAUGAUGAUUUUGGCACUAAUAAAGACGGUUUGGGAAAACGGCUCUUGUGAAGGUUCUGACGAUGAACUUAGCUUUGAAGAUGCUUUUAGGAAACCGGACUAAGAGCGCUUCCUUCUGCAAUGAUGAAAAAAAGUGCUAUAGCUAUAGGGCUGGGGGAAAGUCUUACACUUAUCAGGCCCUAAGGAAGGGAGUUGCCCAUCCCUGAUCUAGGUCUUCAUCUCAGCUGGAGUCCUUCCAGAACUACAUACUCAUGUAUGCAGUUUGCUUUCUCUUCUUCAAUCUUUGAAGAUUUGCUUUCCCUCCUCCAGUCUGGAGAAAAAGGUUUGUAUGAUGUAAAACCAAAAACUCAUUACAAUAUAAUACUGUUAUAUUUUCAACAGAUGACAUUUCUAUAGACAAAAUACUCACUAAAUAUGAUUCAAUCUUUCAGAUACAGGAGACUGUAUCUACACAUUGAAAACUGCAAAGGACUACACCUACACUAUAUAUACAUAAGUAUGUGGAGACCCCUUCAAAUGAGUGGAUUUGGCUAUUUCAGCCACCACCAUUGCUGACAGGAUUACAGUUUAGAAGAGCCACUGACCAUCAAGGGGCACAGGCUGGGUUGCAGAAAUGAUUGGACGGGAAGACCGACUGCAAGGAGAGGCUGACCGAGAUGAAGGCUAAAUUACAAGGACUGUCCUUGGAAGAAAGGGGAGAGGUGCUUGAGCUGGUCGCUUCCAGUCUACCUUGAGUGAUUUUUGAAUACCGGAGAGGUAUCUCAGGGUCUCCAGACAUCCCAGAGCAUGGACAACCUCGCUGGUGCACCUGCCUGAAUUGCAGGGGGACUCCUACACCUUACGACACAAAACUGCUGCCAUUUCACCGCUGCACUAUUCCGUAUAUUUAUUACCAAGUAUGUUUACAUAACAGUUGAACUUUCCACCACUACACUGUACUUUAUUCUUCAUUUGGAUCUCAAUUAUGAAAAAUAUUUCAUUUGGGGACAUCUUUGUAAAUAGUUUUUUUUGUGAUUAUUUUUCCCCCAGUCUGGGUGAUAUCAUUUCAGUACCUUACACCAGGGGUGUCAAACACAUUCCAUGGAGGGUUUAAUGUCUGCAGGUAUUGGGUUUUUCCUUUCAUUUAAGACAACCAGUUGAGGGAAGCUCUCUACUAAUUGGUGACCUUAAUUAAUCAAUCAAGUACAAGGGAGGAGUAAAAACCCACAUACACUCAGCCCUCCAUGGAAUGAGUUUGACACAUGCCUUACUGUGCUUUUUUUAAUUUGGAGAAAGUUACAGAAAUUACCUUGUAUUUUUGUUUAUCUCUCAAAUAAAACUUUAUUUGACCUUAUCUGUGUAAUCAGACCGACUUGUUUUGUACUGUAUUUACACCAGAGUAGUCCAUCCAUUUUUCUGGAUAUAUACCCAACUGUAGGUCUGCUAAUUUGUAGUGAAAAUUGUCAAUAGUAUACAUAUCCAGAAAAAGAUAACAGUUUAGUAAAUAAUUCCAAAACCAUUCCAAAAGUUAAAUAAUGAUGCCUAUAUGCUUGAUAAAGAAUGCACAAAUAUUGUUUCUCACACAAGUUUGUUGCCCACACAAACUUCCCUUAUUUACAUAUGAUUUAUAUGUUUGGUUGCAGGCCCACCACUUUCAACAACAUUUCUGAGUACUCUGUAGGUUUUCACACUUCCCGGGAAAUCUGACAAUAGGGAAAGCUCAGGUGUGCUAACUGCAUCUUGUGUUGCGUGGCGACUUCUCCUCAAAGUUGUAGCAGCUCAGCCAUUGUUGGUGGUGGCUCUUCAGGAGUCUUGGUUCAUCUGAUCUCAGGAUCAUUCUCCUUGGAAGCCCCAAGCGAGAGCCGUUCUUCUCAACAUUGCUUUCGUUCUGGGAUGGAUGUGUAGUCCUAUGCAGUUUUCAAUGCGUAGACACAGUCUCAUGUAGCUGAAAGAAAAUAUUUGGUGAGUAUUUUGUCUAUACAUUUACAGAACUGUAGUGUUGAUAUCUGUUGAAAAUAUAAC